rnacentral:rRNA from 1 species
GAGUUUGAUCGUGGCUCAGAUUGAACGCUGGCGGCAUGCCUUACACAUGCAAGUCGAACGGUAACAGGUCUUCGGAUGCUGACGAGUGGCGAACGGGUGAGUAAUACAUCGGAACGUGCCCAGACGUGGGGGGAUAACGAGGCGAAAGCUUUGCUAAUACCGCAUACGAUCUAAGGAUGAAAGCAGGGGACCGCAAGGCCUUGCGCGUUUGGAGCGGCCGAUGGCAGAUUAGGUAGUUGGUGGGAUAAAGCUUACCAAGCCGACGAUCUGUAGCUGGUCUGAGAGGACGACCAGCCACACUGGGACUGAGACACGGCCCAGACUCCUACGGGAGGCAGCAGUGGGGAAUUUUGGACAAUGGGCGAAAGGCCUGAUCCAGCAAGUGCCGCGUGCAGGAUGAAGGCC